ensembl:antisense
GUAACUACCUGUGCGUUUCAACCAAAAUAAGAAUCAAGAAUUUCAACAGACCACGGAAUAAAUAAAGUUAUUUGUGUUUAAAGGUGUAUUGAAAGUACAGCUAGCAUUUUCUAUUCUCUUAGUUUUUUUUAGGUACAUGUUAUGAAAUAUUCACAUCUCACAUGGUGAAAGUGUGAUAGACCAGAACGUAUCAAUGUCAUAAAAGAGUCAUUUAACUUCUGAAAUUCCCAACUCUGACUUUAGAACUUUAUCAAUUCUGAGGGACAGUGUUCUAUGAACAAGUUUGGACACCCCUGUUGUAAUCGCUGUAUUAACACUUGCAUAUAAUGUCAUUCACAAACAAAAGAAGUACAAUUAAGUGAAUGUCGUGUCUGCACAGCUUUCAAGUAUACUCAAUGUGAAAGAGCACAGAUGGACACAUGCACAGUACUACCUAGUGGACUCAACAUUGACCAUGGAUGCAAAAAUCAGUGUGCACACUGAUGGACACUAAAUUACGUUAUGCAGACAAUAUGCAGACAUUGUGAAACAGGUCGUCCAAAGUAUACUUUUCUCUUAAGGGGUUUCAUUUGCAUACUAGAGUCUGUAGGCUUUAGGAACUUUUUUUAUGUGCCUCUAAUGCAGAAUGUUUCAGAUCCCACAUGGUGAGGGAUGAGUAGGAAUGGGGGGGUUCAAGGAUGCUGUGACAUACAUGACAGUGAAGUUUAGGUAUAAAAAGGGCCAGCAAGUAAGGUUUGUGCAAGUAAACUUCACUUUUUCUUUCUUGAACCACACAGUUAGAUGACUCAAUUCACAUUUUGCAGUAAAAAGGUAGUUCUAAAUAUGGCUGCACAUUUAUAGACUCUUAUUUUUGGGGUCUAAUGGAAACAAACUAUUUUGCCAUGAAAUGUGUGUUUUAUUUGUUCCUUGUAAAGUUUUCUUUCUUUAUUCUUUCAUUUUACAAAAUAAAAUGUAAAUACUUUCAGCUUUAUGCCCAGAUUUUAGUUCUCCCAGAGUUAAUCGCAGCACUUUAAAGCUCACUGUGUCAUCGUGUUGUAUGAAUAUACUUAAUGUUGUGCGAUUCAUCUUGACUUGUUCUUGUCUAGAAUUUGAAAGUGUUUGUCAUGUCAUUCUGUUCUGGUUUAAAAGUCUUUUGCGUAUUUUUCCCCCUCAAGUCGUGAUACUUUUUAUUUAUUUUUGGUGAUGCCUUUUAUGUUAUUUACAAGCAUAAAAAUCAACAAGUGGGUUUUAUCUUCUGUCAAAUAUGGCUACGAUGUUCAACAGGUGGAAUAUUCUAGGCUGCUUACAUGUGAGGUGAUUUUUGCAUGUAUGAAAUCAAAUAUCAAAGUUUUGUCUUUCCUGAUCAGCCGCUGCAUGCACUGAGUGUUUUGUCUGUGCUUUUACCAUUUUUUAAAUGUAUUUAUUUAUUUAUUUUUAAUAAGUGAGAUCAUCACAACACUGUGGAUCGUAAAUAGUCUAUUGUGUGUUUAGAUAUGGACACCGCAAACCAAUAUGACUUCAGAACUGUGUUCUGUGAAUGUUUGCCUACAUGAAAUCAUAAAGUGAUGUACAUAUGUGAUGUGAAUAUCAAUUAAAGACUAAUUUUAUGAAUUCAAACUAAAGUCUGGCCUGUGUUUAAAGCUUUAUUGGCAACCGCUAAGUGAUUUUGAGCUGUUGGUUGUUCAGAAAUGAACCAUUGUGUUCUCUUCUGCUUGAAACAUCAUUUUAUGUCACAUUUUCAAAAUGUACAGUAUAAUACAUGUUCAAUAAAUAUUCUAAAAAUGCUGUUUUAGCCUCUAAGCUGGUAUUUAAUCACCACAGCAUUUCUAUAUACAGAAUUCAGAAUUUAUUGUUGAAUACAGUGUGAAUAAACUCAUCAAGAUUUAAGUGCUAUUGUUAACAUUGCCCACCUUCGUUUCUAUGCAUGAUAAGAACCUCUCAUCCAGAAGUUUGCUGGGAAGAAAGUAUAUUCAAAACAUCCCCCUAUAACAACCUCUCCCCCUUAAAGCCACUCACUCAUCCUUCCUCGGUUGGUCUUUAUGCAUUACGUUUUUGAAGAGUGUGAGCAGUGGUUUCUGAGCACGCUCGUCCCAGGACUUCAUGAAGCCUCCAUAGCGCUUGCUAGCCGGCGGGACGCUCCAGCGGAAAUGGGUCAUUUUGUAGGGGGGGUCCUUCUUCCCCAGUGGGUUUAAAGGCAUCUCUUCUUGCGGAUAGUCGACCUCGUUAUUUGCCAGCUCGCGUCUCAUCUCUGCCGGAAGCGUUUCGGCGGAUUCCUCUUCCACGCCGUUCGUGUACACCUUGAUGGGUCUGCGUUUGCGGCCGACCGGUUUGCCCCACCGGAAGUGCUCCAUGGAGUAGGAGCGCUUGUGGUCGUGUCGAGGGCCGGACUCCGGCUCUAUCUGUUCAGGGGCUGCGAGUGCUACAGGGGAAAGGUGUGCGAGGAGGUCGAUUUGCUCCGGCUCGGAGGGAGGCUGUAGAUGGCUUUCUCCAGGGUAGACGGGGGUUUCAUCUUGAAUGCGCGAGAGAAAAGAAGAAAUACUUUCCACAUUCCCAGUGACAAGAAGAUCUGCCAGCUUGGUAAAAGAACAUAGGGUGGCAAUCUGUUGAGGAUUUCCAGAAAAUGCCAGGCCAAUCAGGAUUCUCCAUUUCAAUGACAUCCCAUCUGCUCUGGACAGACCCAGUGACUUCAUUAAACCAUAAGGAAAUAAGCUUUACCAGUUUGAAGACCCAAAUAGGUUUGAAGGUCUGACAAAGUUUUACUUUUUUUCCCGGAAAACCUCCGUCUAAUGCAGAAUGAAGUUGUCUCUACUGUACACUUUGUUAUUCUGGGCCCAAAACUCCGUGGUUAAAUCCAAAGAUGUUGCUGAUGAGUCUAAAACCACAGACUCUGACAAAACUUCUCAGACCGACACACAUAAAGUGAGCAGUGCCUUAAUGCAGUGUGGUGAAUACAGCAAUGAAGUGAUGCCAAAUGGACAGUGUCGUUUAAUAGCCACAUUACCGCAGAUGGAGGAGCAGAGGUGUCCUGAUAUGUUUCGCUGUACGGAUGAGGUCUCGUACUGGCUGCGCGAGAAUGAGGAGCGAAAACAGCAGAUGCAGGACCUGAAGGAGACCAUCUCUGAGCUUCAAGAGGAGCUAAGAAACCACAGGCAUCGCAUCAAAGUUCUGGAGCUGCAGAGGGAGGAGAAGUUUGGAGUAAACUCGUCUUUAGAGAAUCGUUUCCACACUUUGCACCAGAUCUACGAAGAGGCCAACGCACUGCUGGACAUCCACGGUUCACUCAUCUACGACCUGCAAACACAAAUCCGCAACCUCACUAUGAUAGUAGAGCGCGUGAGACGCAAUCCUGGCUGUAUGAUCAAUAUCAUCCGCACAAGCCCUCUCCUCAGCUCCCAAGAUACCCUUCAUCCAGAGGUUCAGCACAUACGAAACUGCCCGAUUGACUGUGCAUCCCUGUAUUACAAUGGAGUUCACAGAUCUGGGAUUUUUACUGUUGUCCCCUCAUUGGGAUCGACUCCGGUAGAAGUUUAUUGUGAUAUGGAAACACAAGGAGGUGGAUGGACAGUGUUUCAACGUCGGCAGGACGGAAAGGUUAAUUUCAACCGUAAAUGGACAGAAUACAGGGAUGGUUUUGGAGAUCUGCAUGCAGAAUUCUGGCUGGGAAAUGACCACAUCCAUGACAUCUCCAGCCAGGGAGAGUAUUCGCUUCGCAUUGACCUUGAGGACUGGAAUUCCAAGCACAAACACGCACUCUACCAGAACUUCUGGAUUGAGAAUGAAGACAACCACUACCGUCUCCAUGUCUCAGGAUUCAGCGGUACGGUUGAGGACUCGUUUGGCUGGUAUCACGACAAGCAAAGCUUCAGCACUCCAGACACAGGAGACAUCUGUGCCGAGAUCUCUCACGGGGGCUGGUGGUACCAUCAGUGCUUCUUUGCCAACCUCAACGGAGUCUAUUACAAGGGGGGGCGUUACUCUGCCAAAGGGAAGAACCUGCUGGGGCCUGAUGGGAUUGUAUGGUACUCUUGGAAGGACUCGGAUUACUAUUCGCUGAAGAAAGUGAGCAUGAUGAUCCGGCCGCGCACAUACAGGCCUCGUCUCUCUCCAUAGCACCUGUGGAAGACCACACUGCAGAGACACCAGUAGGACCUGUUCAUUCUCAAUUACAUCAACUAUGGUUAAAGGGAAAGUCUCAACUGGUGUCUGACAAACUGAAGAAUUCGGUGUAUUGAAUUGUAUGUAAUACAUACACAUAUGAAACGCAUAAAAACAGUGUAAACAUGCAGUACAUUAAAAACAAACAAUGAAAAACAUCUCUAUAACUUUAAUUUUUAUUCAUUCAAUUCCAUAAUUGUAUUUAAGUACUGUUGUUAUUGAACUAUGAGCUGAUGACAGGAUUUUAAGCUAAAUAUAAAUGCUGAAAGUCUUGCUCAUUGUUAUUAAUUAAGCUAAUGUGAAAAAAUCAACUUCAAAAGGAUAUUCC